UACGUAGGGGGCAAGCGUUGUCCGGAUUUAUUGGGCGUAAAGCGCUCGCAGGUGGUUCGUCGCGUCGUGCGUGAAAGACCCCGGCUCAACUGGGGGAGGGCGUGCGAUACGGGCGGACUGGAGGCCAGUAGGGGGAUGCGGAAUUCCGGGUGUAGUGGUGGAAUGCGUAGAGAUCCGGAGGAACACCAGCGGCGAAGGCGGCAUCCUGGACUGGACCUGACACUCAUGAGCGAAAGCGUGGGGAGCGAGCCGG
rnacentral:rRNA from 1 species